GACGAACGCUGGCGGCGUGCUUAACACAUGCAAGUCGAACGGAAAGGCCCUGCUUUUGUUGGGUGCUCGAGUGGCGAACGGGUGAGUAACACGUGAGUAACCUGCCCUUGACUUUGGGAUAACUUCAGGAAACUGGGGCUAAUACCGGAUAGGAGCUCCUGCUGCAUGGUGGGGGUUGGAAAGUUUCGGCGGUUGGGGAUGGACUCGCGGCUUGUCAGCUUGUUGGUGGGGUAGUGGCUUACCAGGGCUUUGACGGGUAGCCGGCCUGAGAGGGUGACCGGCCACAUUGGGACUGAGAUACGGCACAGACUCCUACGGGAGGCAGCAGUGGGGAAUAUUGCACAAUGGGCGGAAGCCUGAUGCAGCAACGCCGCGUGCGGGAUGACGGCCUUCGGGUUGUAAACCGCUUUCGCCUGUGACGAAGCGUGAGUGACGGUAAUGGGUAAAGAAGCACCGGCUAACUACGUG
rnacentral:rRNA from 1 species